CAGCAGCCGCGGUAAUACGUAGGGUGCGAGCGUUAAUCGGAAUUACUGGGCGUAAAGCGUGCGCAGGCGGUUCGUUAAGACAGAUGUGAAAUCCCCGGGCUUAACCUGGGAACUGCAUUUGUGACUGGCGAGCUAGAGUAUGGCAGAGGGGGGUAGAAUUCCACGUGUAGCAGUGAAAUGCGUAGAGAUGUGGAGGAAUACCGAUGGCGAAGGCAGCCCCCUGGGCCAAUACUGACGCUCAUGCACGAAAGCGUGGGGGGCGAACAGGAUUAGAUACCCCUGUAGUCCCUGUCUCUUAUAC
rnacentral:rRNA from 1 species